AUUGAACGCUGGCGGCAUGCCUUACACAUGCAAGUCGAACGCGAAAGCGGGGCAACCCGCAAGUAGAGUGGCGAACGGGUGAGGAAUGCAUCGGAACAUAUCCAGUAGCGGGGGAUAACCUGUCGCAAGAUAGGCUAAUACCGCAUACGACCUACGGGUGAAAGCGGAGGACCGCAAGGCUUCGCCCUAUUGGAGUGGCCGAUGUCGGAUGAGCCAGGUGGCGGGGUAACGGCCCACCAAGGCGACGAUCCGUAGCUGGUCUGAGAGGACGGGCAGCCAAACUGGAACUGGGACACGGUCCAGACUCCUACGGGAGGCAGCAGUGGGGAAUUUUGGACAAUGGGCGCAAGCCUGAUCCAGCCAUGCCGCGUGAGUGAAGAAGGCCUUCGGGUUGUAAAGCUCUUUCGGCGGGGACGAAAUGGUCCGUGCUAACACCACGGACUGAUGACGGUACCCGAAGAAGAAGCACCGGCUAACUACGUGCCAGCCGCCGCUGUAACAC
rnacentral:rRNA from 1 species